rnacentral:lncRNA from 1 species
GGCGGUGGCGCGCCGUAGGCCGGCGGCGGGUAGGCCUCCUGCCCCGGCGGCGGGUACGCGGUGCCCGGUGGCGGGUAGCUCAUGGCCGACGCCGCGGUCUGAGUUCACAGAGACAGUAGAACCGCUGAAGCAGGAAGCUGGCAAGGCAGACUUGCUGAUGCCACAAGCCGCUCUCUGCUCUCGACUUUGUGAUGUUCUUCUAAUGGAGCAUUGCUCUUUAUAGCGACACCAAGAGGCAUACGCUCGUAGCACUCCUACUACUAUUUUCAGGAUUACUUAGGCGCGUAAUCCUAACACAUAUCCAGAUUUUCAAAGGGACGCCGGUCACAGGCGGUAGUGCAUCCAUGCACGGCGACGGCGGGUUUCAAUUGGUUUCUCGCCCUCCAAAACCGUCGUUGAAGGCGUCACUCGGAAGGAGAGACAUCG